AAAAAAAUUUAAAUCAUGUGCAAUUUAAAAGAUGGUUCCUCACUUACUUCAGCCACAUGUCAAUUCCCAAGUAGCUGCCUCAAGGGACAGUGCAGACCUGAACACACCCACCAUCACAGAGAGUUCCCCUGGACAGUGCUCCUGUGGAGCUGACAGCCUGCUAAAGGCCCAUCCAUGGUAGAAAGUGUUUCUGUUCUCAUUGUAGACACCAGGAAAGAUUUGGUGUUUAGUGAAGUAAAGACUAUUUUGGUUGGUCUUCUUACCAACUAAAGGCAAAAGGCUGUAAGAGGUUGCUGUAGACUCUAUAAGUCAGAGAACAUUUAAGAAAGGAAAGAGUGACAUCCAUUUGCAUUCAAUUCUCCCUUUUGGGUGGCUGAACUUUUAAAAAGCCAACAGCCAGUUGACAGCUAUUGGACGGCCCUCUCUCAAGGACUGUUCUAUGAGCCCUUGUCGGGCCCUCUGUUCCUUCUGGCCUGCACCUCCCCAGUCCCCAGGCAGCCUGGCUGCCAAAAAGGCUGGCAGUGCCCAAGUGUGAUACCUGGUAGGUGCGUUUCCUCUCUGCGUGCACCCUCUUGGUGCUCCCUGAGUAUUGUUUGCAUCCAUCUGCUCCUCUCACUCUUCCAUGCUGCAUAGUUAGGUGUUGUUUUGUCCCCUGGAGGAAGCCCAUAUUGUUCUAUUCCUACCACAGAAGAAAAAAUCAGGAACAAGGAAAAAUAUGGAAUGCAAGCCAGUGUUUCCAGGUCAUCAACACGCACACAAAUGUGUGUGAAAAUCAGUGUUAAUUUACUGCAAGAUUCAGUGUUUGCACAACUCUUAAGUCAUUUCCCGUAGGCUGCCCAACAGCCAUCACAUGGUAAUGAAUUCCUGUUAUAGCCCAUGUAUGAUGGCUAAAUCAGCCAACUAAUGAUCAAAGAAGAGAACAAAAUAAUAACAACAGUGAUAAGAAUAACAGUAGUGUAAUGAUUGAUUUUACCAGGCACUUGCAACUGGGGUCUAUGGGGCAAUAUAACAUGGGGCAGUUAUAACUGAUUUUCUCACUUUAACAUUUGUGGUUUCUACUGCCUUCAUUUAAAAAAUAAUAAAAACCCUAAGCUAUGAAAAUAGACCCAGACUAACAAUUAAACCAGAAACAAGUUGAAUGGAUAAUAGGUUAUGCUUUUGCCUUUUUUUUUUUUUCAUUUUAAGUUUUAGAAGCCCUUAAAAAUGUCUUUGGACUGUGGUAAAGUACUUGUUAACAAAAUCAGAAAGAAUCCUAAUUUUUGGAAUUUUGUGCUUAUCUGAUUCAUACAUGUGUACCUUUGACUUGGCUUUAGUUAUCUUAAGACACACAAUGGACUUGUACUUGAAAAUGAAGCAAGCCAUUUGAGAACCAGACCAUUUUAAAGACAAAUAGGCAUUUAAGAUUUAUUUUAUCUUUAUUAUUUUCCUCUCCUAAUAUUUCUUUAUUUAUCACUGAUAAAUACCAGGUUGAAAAGAGAAUCAAUUUGAUUUUAACAAUGUAAAAUUGAUGAUGAAUUAGAAGUGUCCAAAAGAGAGUUCUGAAUAAUGUAAAUAGAGCUCAAUGUUCAGUUGGUUCUUGGAAAGUUUUCUCUGCCCGUGCUCAUUUUCUUCAAUGGCGUUUUGUUAGUUUCCUUGUUUGGGGCAAAUAUCCUCUUGCAGUUUUCAGCCCAGAACAGUUAAGCCUUAAAUCCUAGAAAGUGGCUUUGUACAUGUGCUGGAGGUGGGGUGGGGUUACAUGGAAAGCUGAGUGUGUCUGCUUUAGAGAUACAAAUGGGCCUGCUACAAUAAAUCAUUAAAGACGCUCAAACGGAUGUUUAUUGGAAGAAUGCUUACCUCUGUAAGCUGAGGUAGAGGGCUAAAAGGCUGGGGGGCUGGGAUCUCACAUAACUAAUGGGCACACUUUUUACAGACAGAAGGGCCAGGCCGUAGUCCUCGUGGUAAAUCUGCAGUGACAGACGUUUGUUCUAUAUUUGUGAAUGACCUGAUUUGGCAUGCAUGCAGCUCGUUCUACUGACAAUAAUGGUAACAUGGUGUGAGGGAGAGAGAAGAAAGGAGAAGGAUUGGGAGGGGGCUGUUGGUGGAGGGAGGAGAGAAAUCCAGGCAGACAGAAAGGGAGAAGGGGAAGGGAAUAUUAAACAGCUGGAGAGCUGAGCAGUGAAGGGCAGCCCAGAGGAAACCUGCCUUUAGCAUCUGAUUAUUUUAAUUUGGGAGGAAGGUUGCAUUUAUUCCUAAUUGACCGGAGAGGAUCGGCUUUCCUUCCUCCCUGCUCCCCCCUCCCACUCCCCUCCCCAGCAGUCUCUGGGAAGGUGUGCAGAGCAGCUGUCAGACCACAGAAACCGGAUUCCUCUGCAUCAAGGAAGCCCUUGUUAUUUGCAAAAUUUGAUUAGCUCUUUACCUUUAUUAUUGCCCUUCAACCCAUGGGCAUUUCAGGUGAGCAAAGAACUGGCCUGAAAGGAGGAGCAGAGCCAAGGGUAGCCCUUGCUGCCUCUCCUCUCUCCAGCCUUCUCCCUUUCAAAGUGACAGAUAUAAUUGGGGGCAUGAAUAAUUAUGACACCGAAACAGGCCUCCACCAGAGAUGUCGGGUGGUGGGCAGAAUACUGAGUGAAGGGAACAUGAAAGCACUAGGUCAGGACCUGCUUGUUUACCUGCUGUGUGACUGUGGACAAGUCGUGUUCCGUCUCUGAGCCUUCCCAUUUCCUAGUCUGUGAAAUGCAGAUAUUCAAAAGAUGAUCGCAAAGGAGCCAUCGGGGUUGAAAACCAUAGCUCUUGUCACAAGUGCACUGCUAUGCAGGUAAGGAUCCCAGUGCCACUUCCUCAGAGAGGUCAUCCCAGCCUAUCCAAAGGGUGCUUCUGCCCUGUCAUUCUCUACCACAGCGCUUACCACUGUCUGAAACCAUCUGCCUGAUUUCUGUGCAAUUAUUUUAUUAGCCUACUUGGAUGGAAGCUUUGAGCAAGUCACACAGGCUGUCUCAUUCACUGCUUCCUUUUUGGUAAAGGAUGUAUAUUUAGAACUCUUCAGGAGAGCUGAAUGAAUAUGUCCAGCUAUUUUUCUCCAAGAAGUUUUGUCAGUUUGCAAGCGGUAGACAGAGAGUCUCAGGUCACAGGAGCAAAUGGGUAUUUAGGAGAGACAUCCAGGCCAGUAAGAGAUAAGCAGACAAUCUCCUGAGCCCACAGCCAGGUCCUAUUAAGAAAUGAAAAAAACAGUUGAGGCUUUAUCAGAUGACAGCCCCUCAGAUGGUCCAGCACCAACUACGUUCAUUGUUCCCUCAACUGUGAGCAUCCAUUACUCUCCAUUGCAGGGCUCUGCCUUUUCGGUGAGACGGUUUCAUUCUCACCAUUUCCAUUGCUCUGGGCUCUCCAGAAUAACCAGCUUUCUGAGUGUCCUGAGAUCAGACUCCUCCAAAAAGCAUUUGAGUGGUUUACCUAAUCACUGUCCACUGUAGGAGACUUCUUUGGGGGCAAAAUUGCCCUUGAAACCAGCAUAUGGGGUUCUCCAAGAUGGGAUCGCAUUAGAAAUAUCUGAGCAGCUUUUCCAAAAUGCACUUCCUGGGGACUCAUUGAUAGGUAAUAAGUUAGGCUCUCCAUCUGGUGUUGGAUUAGACAUCUGCUAUUUUGAAAAGUCUCCCCAGGUGAUUGUGUUGUGCACUUCUGGACCAUAGCCACUGUCGUCGAUGGCUGUCUUUGGAACAGGUGCUCAUCCUUGGCCCAGUCGUCUGUGACCAGAGAGGUGGAGUCACAGGGACAAAGCACAGGAAGGGAGUGUGGCACACACUCAGAACUCCAUACAGCCUUUCAAAUCCCCGCCCCUCUUUCUCUCUGUCCAUCCUUCCUUCCCACAUCACUUACGUAUUUCUCUUCCAGGUCAGGAUGUAUAGAUGUUGGAGCAGACUCUAAUAGUUCUCUCUUUCCCCUUUAGAAACACUUACAAGGAUUAAAACAAGUUGGCAUGUGAGAGCUCAAAUGCUCUAAAAGCUGGGAGGGAGCAAACGUGUGUACAUUCCAGAUGGGGUUAGGGAAACAGAGCACAUAAACAGGGCACAUAAACCUGGAUUCCAUUUCAAGAUUAGAACCAGCUUCUUAAAAUAAUAAUCCUUUAUUCUGUCAUCCUUCUCAUUCACAGUACCACCAAAGUAGCAGUAUCUAGAAAGGAAUUUGGUCUUUCCUGGGCCACAUAAGGGGCAGUUCACUGAACUACUUAUAAAAUGUAACAGCUGUUCAUUCCCUUUAUUAUAGAAAAAAGAAAGAGCAGGAGGAAGAGGAGGAGGAGGAGGAGGAGGAAUACAACACUAAAUAGAGACCAAUUCCCAUGGCUGACAGAAGAUCCUUGGGAGAGGAUGGGUUAGCAGGAGUGAGGAAAGCCAGGUAGUAAUGGGUGGUACUUUAUCCACCAUAAUGUUUACUGAGCUCCAAUUUGUUUAGUGUAUAGUAGAAAUAGAAGAUGAAGCCCUUGGCUUCCCUGAGCUGACAAUCCAAUAGGGGAGACCCAUGAAAGGGUCUAUAAUAUUAAGUAACAUGGUAUAUAUAAGGAGCUCAGUAAGUCUCGAAUCUACUGUAUAAUCUCAACAGAUGCUAAAUUAAACAAUAGCUGAAUGUGUUUGCUUGCUUGCAUUCCAACUUCCUUCUCCCUUACCUACCUCCACUUGAUUUCCCAGGCUCCUUUGUAGCAGGGGUGGCCACAUGACACAGGAGAAGUCUACUGAAAUUGUUUCUACCUCUUUGUACCUGGUUGAAUAGUGUCCCCAAACAAUUCAUGUACACCCAUAAAUGUGGCAUUAUUUGAAAAUAGAGUCUUUGCAUAUAUAAUAAAGAUGAAGUUCUAUGGGAGGAAGAUAGACCCUUGACCUGAUAUGACUGGUGUUCUUGAAAGAAAAAGAUGACGCAUCUAUAAGCCAAGGAAUGCCAAGGGUUGCUGGCAGCCACUGGAAACUAGAAGGAGCAAAGAAGGAUUCUCUUCCAGAGCACUCAGAGGGAGCAUGGUCCUAUCCACACCUUGAGUUAAACCUCUGGCCUCUAGAAUUAUGAAAGAAUAGAUCUCUAGUGUUUAAAGCAACCUAGUUUGUGGUAUUUUUGUCAUGGCAGCCCUAGGAAACUAAACUCUUUCUUCUGCUCUUCUUCUUAGAGUGAAGAGAGGAUGCCUUGAGGGACAUCACACAUCUUAGGAAUAUGAGAACAGAAGCUGUAUAAGUAAAUAUGGUAGACCAGAAAGACAAUAGGAGACUGUUUCAUUGUGACAAUUUCCCAGAUGAAUAAAUUUCCCAUUCAUUUAUCUCAAUAAAUAAAUCCCUAAGUGUUUCAGUCAUUUCACUUAGGUUUUCUGGUACAGAUGACACACCCCUAACUAAUGCUCUAUAGCCAAAUAGAAUGAUGCAGGAGUUAACGGAGUUCAUGUCCCAGCCAUGUGGACAUGUAGAUGUGUGGCCCCUAGGAAGUCAUGAAAGCAUCUUUGAUGCCAUUUAGUUCCUCUUUAAAAUAGAAAUAGUACUGUCAAGCUGAGUUUUAAAUGAGAUAUUUUAUGAGAAAGCCGGGGGUUGUCAAUCAGGCAGGGAGAACCCAUACAAAUUACCAGGGCUGCCAUCUCAGGGGGCCUAGAUCCUGUCUGGGUUGCGUAGUAAUACAAAUGCUGAAUGGAGACCAUUUCCCCACCACUGUCCUUAUUGGGAAAGCCCCUAAUAAAUUUUUUAAACAGGAAGCAGCUAUCAGAAGCCUUGGUAAAAAUAUUUUAUAAAGGACCAUACUAAUAUUGGGGAAUAUUAAAGUACCAGUUAAAUAACUCCAUUGUACAACUUACAAAAGCAGUCACUGGGAUGAAGGGCUCUCAAUGUUCUCAUUAAAUGGAAGGGAGAAGGGAGGAUUUUCUCAGUUCCUUCUGAAACAGUUCUAUCCCACAAACUUCCCAAGCCAUCCCUUUCUGUCUUGCCUAUCCCUGGACCCUUCCUUUGUCUCUGAGCAAAUGCAAGACAAAAGUAGUCAGGAGGCUGCAGAAAGAGAACACUGUAAGCCCUUCCUAGAGUGAAGCAGGCCUUGAUGCAGUGAAGGGAUAAACCUCAGGGUAGACCCCAGAAGAAUGCCACUGACGCCCUGGAAGUCCGAGGUGCCACAUGGAUACAUCUUUCACCCACUCCCCACUUGGCAGGGGGCCUCUCCUUGUGCAAGCCAAGUUUUCCAAAGGCUGGAGGGUGCUUCCCAAAGUCUAGUGCCUCAAGAUACAGGUCUUAGCCAGAUUCAGGGGUGCACAUUUGUAAUCCCAGCUACUCAGGAGGCUGAGGCAGGAGGAUUGCAAGUUCAAGACCAACCUGAGCAACUUAGCAAGACCUCAUCUCAAAAUAAAAGUAAAAGGACUAGCUAGCAUGCACCAUGUCCUGAGUUCAAUUCCCAGCAUCUCCUCCAAAAAGAUACAGGCCUCAGCUUGGCUGGGUGUCUCAGUUCCAGAAAUUUUCAGUUUCUCUCAGAAUUCAACUCAAAUCACCUGCUUGUAGAUUUGAGCUAACAUAGGCAGCCCCUAGUCCCUCUUUCCUGUACCUUCCACCCAUUCUCACCCUCUCACCACGUUAGAGCUAAGUGAAUAUGGUUUUCCAAAUAUAGUUUUGCUGCCAGUGUGUUAGGCCUUCUAAUGAGCCACAGUAAUUGCUUCUCUAUUUUCCAAAAUGAAAAUGAACCUCCGAAGAGCAGCUGGUUCACUGUAAUGUUCUCUUCCCUCCAAUUACAUACUGCAUUCCUCCAAGUCAGUCAAACGCCGGCCUUGACUGCUUCAUCUGUGAGCAGGGCCCGUGGGAGAGGCUGGAGGAAUGUGCUGAUGUCAAGGAAACAGGCCUGGAGCCUUGAAUACUUGGGUAUAUUUAAGGGAACAGGGAAGAAAGAGAAGUAGGAGGAGGAAGAUGGGAAAGAUCUGGUUUUACUUUUGAAUUCUAAGAUGUCCUAGCUUGGGUUGUGCUUUUCAGUGUAUCUGAAAGGAUAACUGAAACUUUAGACAACAGAGCAAAAAUGUCUCUGUCUUCCUCUCUUUUUCAAGAAUCAUGACAAAGCAAUAAAGAAAAGAAUCAAUAACAUAAACCCCAUAGUCUACAGGGGCAGGACACAUCUGUAAUCUGGAGCCCCCAGUGUAUGAAGAUGAGAAAAAUUGAUGAGCCACUUCAUAGAUCUACGAAAAGUCCAGCCCAAGAGGCAGAGGGUAGAAUCAAGUGAAUCAAGCCAUUCUCCCUGGAGAAUAUAGAGGAGUCUAGGGAGUUGGGAAACCAACAUUCUGCAUUAGUCAGAAAUCAGCACAGCACGGAAAAUAACUUCUGUGGUAUUAAGAUAACAAUACCAGGUACCACUUCUGGAGCACCUCAUGGUGCCUGGUCCUCUACAAACAUUCUCUCAUGCAAUGCUCCUAAGAGCAAAACACAUUAUUUUCCAAUUUUAUAGAUGCAAAAACCGAGGCUUAGAGGAACAGUCAUUUGUCCCAGAUGUCAGAGAGUAAGACACUGAACCACACAUUCUUUUUUUUUUCUUCUUAAUAGUACUAGGGAUUGAACUCAGAGACCUCACAUUGAGCUAUACUCCUAGUUCUUUUUAUUUUUUAUGUUGAGACAUGAUCUUGUUAAGAUGCUCACACAGAACUUAAGCUUGCGAUCCUGCUUCCUCAGCCUCCCAAGUAUGGAAGUACAGGUUUACACCACCACUCCCAACAUACACCAAACUAUUCUUAAUUUCAAAGUCCUACCAUGAGCCCCCACCACUUCCUCAGGUCAAUUGGAGCAUGUGAGUCACUUGUACCUAUGUACAGGUGUGGAGCCAGGUUAACAUGAUUGGCAUGGGUUAGUCAGGGGCACUGUUGUCUGGGCUCCUGCUUCACUGUCUGCUCAGCCAUUUUCUCAAGCUGGACUGUGCUUUGGAAAUGUUACAGAAACAAGCAUCACCACCUCCCUCUUGUCACUUUCUGUUGGAGCCCUCCUGCUGGAAUGAGGUACUCCCAAAAGUGGAUCCUUUCAGCUCUGAGGUAGGUGCAGGUCUCUAGAGACUAAGAUUCCAGCAAAUAUACUGGCCAGCAUCCAAGAGGGAAGAAGGUUGAAACAGUUUGGAUUUUAAAUAUCCUCCAAAGACUCAUUCAAGUUCUGCUCACUUGUCUGUGGUGCUACUGAGAAGCAGGAAAUCUUUAGGGGGUGGGGCCUCAUGGGAGGAAGUUAGGUCAUUGGUGUUGUGCCUUUGAAUAGAAUGUUGAGACUCUGGUCUCUUCCUCUCUCUCUCUCUCUGCUUACCAGCCACCAUGAGAUUACCAGAUCUCCUCCACCACAUGCUUCUGUGAUGUGCUGCCCUACCACAGACCCAGAGGAUCAUGGACUGAAAGCUCUGAAACCAUGAGUGAAAAGAAACCAUUCCUCCCUUAAGUUGAUUAUGUCAGGUAUUUUGUCAGAGCAAUGAAGAGCUAAUGCAGAGGAUGUCAAGGAAACUGCUCCUCCCUUCCUACACUCUCCUGUUUGUUACUGCCCAGCACCUGUGCUGUAACAUCCAAAGCAGGCUAUAGAACCCACAACUGUCCAGAUCCCCUCACUGGAGCCACAAAAGUCUGAAUGAAUCUGAGUCACAAAGAACCACAUCCAUUUGAUAUGCAGGUUCAGAAGUGUAAAAUAAAGUGUGCAGUGUCUGUUUGCUAGCCCCUUUCUGAUUUCUGACUUUUUGUUCAAAGAUCAAUCAUAAGAUCCAUGAGAGUCCAUGAAUAAGUGGCUGGCCACUCUGUUAGGCAUGUUGGAGAUCAAGCGUAUUGUGUCUGCCCUCAAGAAUCCAUAACCAGUCAGAGCACUCUGGCAACCACAUCUGAAAAGAGAAGGAAAGACCCCAGGCUGUGUGCAAUUAAGAGCCACUGGAAAGGUGUUCUGAGAUGUACCAUAGUUGUCCUCAGUGAUCUCCCUAAUGCUUCCACUAAGUUGUGAAUUCUUUAAAGGUUUUUGUUUUUUUUAUUUUUGGACUUCAGUGCAUAGCAGUGAGAGGGGCAUGUGCCAACUGCUCAUAAGCAUCUUUUGAAUGAAUGAAUGAGUGAGGGGACAAAUGAACAAGUGAAGGAAUGAAUAUGUUCCAAGGAAGGAAUACUGCAGAGAGCAGAGAGCUGGAGUGGUGAGGUAGUGCAUCCAGGAGGAAACAGGACUACAGCCAAACAGGGAGUUGUCAUCCAGUGACUCUGUAGACCUGAAAGAAUCUUCCAAAGGUCAAGAUGGUCUCUAGAAAGGGACUAACCUGGGACUGAGCAUGGAAGUCAGGAAGUCGGGCUUGUGAUAAACUUUGGUGAGACGGAUGGAGAUGAAUGGAUGUCAUGGGAACACCCAGCUAAGCCAUUCCAGGAGAGACUAAGCAGAGCAGUGAUGACCGUGAUUGUUAAUGUGAAACAGAAAACAGGAGAAAAAACAAGACUCUAUGUUAAAGAUGGAGCGGGAAUCAUGGCUUCUGACUAAAGGAGAACAACAAGUAGGAUGACAACGGCAACAACAACAACAACACAAGAUUUAAGUGAGCUAUCAAAGAGAAAGAGACCGCCAGCAAAAGGCUGCCACACAAAGGAAAAGGAAAUCCACAGUGCUGGGAGACACCGAAGGGACCAGGGGAUGUGCACACCAGUGUUUGUAUCUUCUCUCUGUGUGUACACAGUCCAUGAGAGUAAAUUAUUGUCAUGGGUAAGGGUUUAACAUUCUUGACCUAUACUAUGGCUUAAAAAAAAAAAGUAUGCAACAUGACUGGAAUGCCAAUUUGAAGUGGAGAAGCAUUUAGGGAGAAUGAAUAGACUGUGCUUCAGAAGUAUUUUCAUGGAAGGGAAUGAGCCUCUUUAAUUUGUUCUCUGCAGAGGCUUUGAGAGAGCUAACAUUGUAACCUGCUAAGUCAGGCACCAUGCGCAUAAUAAUGCAGAGAUGAUGGCUUAAGAGUUACUGUGCUACUAGGUUUUGGUGUUAAGGCAGCAGUAAUUGUUGCAAAAGUCACUGAUAAUUUUGGUUAGCAAGUGAUACAAAUGGAACUGGUCGGGUAUGCUGUUCUUUGGGACCCUCCCUCACCCACAGCCUCUGAACUCUGCAAAUCCUGAUGCAGUGUCCUUUAGUCCCCUUUCAUUACCUACAUAGCUGGUGCAUGCAGUUGGGAAGUGUGGUGGCGGGGCCCAUUCCAAAGGAGUCCACUGCCUCACAGUCCCUGGUGCUGGAGGAGCAAAGCCAUUGCUUUCAUUCAGCUGGAAGAGAAUGAAACCCACAUUCUAUGCUGUUGUCUCACUGCAAGCCAGGCCUUCAAUUGGAAUGUUGGUGUCAAUAUUUAAAGAGGUGUGCCAUGACAGCUUAGAAGUGAGGCGUCCUGAGGGCAGAGGUGACUUCACCUCCGGGUUAAUCCUGCUUUGGAAUUGUUUUCUGUGCUUUUACUGCCCCUGGUUCCUAGGAAACAAGGUUGCUGUUUGUGGAGUGGCAAAUAGGGCUACGCUUAGAUUCUGGACUGGCAGUUAACAUUUUGCAUUAAUCCCAUGCUUUAUCCAUCAAUCCCCCUUUUUCCCUCCACCUUCUUGCCCUCUGAUGAACAUUAACAAUGUUGGCACCUAACCACACUUCUCAUUCGGCUUCCGCUGACUUCUGUCCUGUGAGGUGCACAGAAAUAAAAAUGUCAGUUUGUCAGUCCCUUUUAUGCUUACAAAGUGUUCCUAGUGUGAAGACCCAACCAUGAGCCGAUCAUCUUCACCCUCGAGCAAAUCCAUGUAACAAACAUUUAUUGAGCCAUGUGAUGCAACAUGGAAGCAAUUCAAGGUAACAAACAUUUAUUGACCCUCUGAUUGUAAUUGAUCCAAGGUCCUGAGUCAUUAACAAAAUUGUUUUUGUGACUUUCAUGAGGAUGUCAAGGUGAUUCUUGCAGUUAGCAUGUGGGCAUGUGAUUAUAUCUGUCCAUGGUGGGGAG
rnacentral:lncRNA from 1 species